rnacentral:rRNA from 1 species
AUUGAACGCUGGCGGCAGGCCUAACACAUGCAAGUCGAACGGUAGCACAGAGAGCUUGCCCUCGGGUGACGAGUGGCGGACGGGUGAGUAACGUCUGGGAAACUGCCCGAUGGAGGGGGAUAACUACUGGAAACGGUAGCUAAUACCGCAUAACGUCGCAAGACCAAAGUGGGGGACCUUCGGGCCUCACACCAUCGGAUGUGCCCAGAUGGGAUUAGCUAGUAGGGGGGGUAAUGGCUCACCUAGGCGACGAUCUCUAGCUGGUCUGAGAGGAUGACCAGCCACACUGGAACUGAGACACGGUCCAGACUCCUACGGGAGGCAGCAGUGGGUAAUAUUUCACAAUGGGCGUCAGCCUGAUGCAGCCAUGCCGCGUGUAUGAAGAAGGCCUUCGGGUUGUAAAGUACUUUCAGCGGGGAGGAAGGCGGUGAAGUUAAUAACUUCACCGAUUGACGUUACCCGCAGAAGAAGCACCGGCUAACUCCGUGCCAGCAGCCGCCGUAA